AUGAACAAAGCUCGCGGCUUCCUAGGUAUGCUUGGCUCAAUAAAUUGCACGCAUUGGAGUUGGAAGAAUUAUCCCAAGGCAUGGCAUGGGCAAUACCACGGCAAAAAAAAAGGUUCCACUGUGAUCCUUGAAGCGGUGGCCGAUCAAGAGACUUGGAUUUGGCAUGCUUUUUUUGGAAUGCAUGGAUCUUUGAAUGACAUCAACGUUAUCAACCGGUCACCACUGAUGAAUAAGAUUGCAAAUGGUGAACUGUCACCGGUGCAGUUUGUAGCAAAUGGUCGUACAUACAACUAUAGCUACUAUCUUGCGGAUGGCAUCUACCCAAAGUGGCAAACAUUUGUG
rnacentral:rRNA from 1 species